GACGAACGCUGGCGGUAUGCCUAAUACAUGCAAGUCGAACGCUGAAGCACUCUGCUUGCAGAGUGUAGAUGAGUGGCGAACGGGUGAGUAACACGUGGGGAACCUGCCCAUAAGAGGGGGAUAACAUCCGGAAACGGGUGCUAAUACCGCAUAGGUGAUCAUAGCGCAUGCUUAGAUCAUUAAAGAUGGCUUCGGCUAUCGCUUAUGGAUGGCCCCGCGGCGUAUUAGCUAGUUGGUGAGGUAAUGGCUCACCAAGGCUGUGAUACGUAGCCGACCUGAGAGGGUGAUCGGCCACACUGGAACUGAGACACGGUCCAGACUCCUACGGGAGGCAGCGGUAGGGAAUCUUCCACAAUGGGCGAAAGCCUGAUGGAGCAAUACCGCGUGAGUGAAGAAGGUCUUCGGAUCGUAAAGCUCUGUUGUUAGAGAAGAACAAGAGGUGUAGUAACUGGCACCUCCUUGACGGUAUCUAACCAGAAAGUCACGGCUAACUACGUGCCAGCAGCCGCGGUAAUACGUAGGUGACAAGCGUUGUCCGGAUUUAUUGGGCGUAA
rnacentral:rRNA from 1 species